AAAUGAAUAACUUUGAUGAUGUGGUAACAGGUGUGUAAGUCCGUUUGAUCUGCAAUUUUAAUAUCCCAUUCCUACCUAUGAGUUUUUGUUAUAUAAUAUAUUAUUCCUUCAAUUAAGUUUAUUAUUUUAAUAUAUGAGUAGAGUUACUUUAGUGGAAGUUUUUAUUGAACUAGAGUUUUUAAUCUUUUAAUUUGAGAAAAGUUUUUCGUGUUAAAAGUUGUAUUUGUCUGUUCUUAUCUGUACAUCAAAGAAAAAUAUUUCGCAUUAUUGAGAUAAUUAUCUCUAGUUUAUCUAUUGAAUAUUUUAGCCAUCUAUUCUUUGUGACAAUGACAACAACCGAAUUGCAAAUGGAACAUAUAUGUUUUACUUUCUGGUCUUAAAAAUAUAGUAUAUCUCACGACAAGUAGCCUUAAAUACACAUGUUCUAAAAAAAAACCAUAAAUACACCAUGUGUUAUUGCAAAAUGAGAGCUAUUGAAUUAAUGAAACUGUCAAAACUUUGUAAUUGGCCAAUAGAACUAGAUCAUGCUCUUUUACAUUUUCACUUUUCAGUUGAAUUUCUUAUUCACAAAAUGGUAAAAUGUGCUUAAGGCUGAUUGUUAGGUAGUUUACUCAGAACCGAGUGCUCUGGUUUGUGAUCACACUCAAAGUCUAGAUGAACGAAUGCUCGUUCGACUUCUGGAAGUUUCUCAAGCUUUAUCUGUAGAGUCUCUCCAAUUGCAUGUGCUUCUUUUAAAGGUAAUUCUUCUGGAAGUUCAAUGUCUACCUGCGCAAAAUCAGACCCAAAUCACGAGGCAUAAGAUCUUUUUUAUUUUACAUCCUUAUCUCUCACAAAUUCUAAAGUAUACUUUACAUGAACAUUAGUAUCAGAGGUUUGUAAGACUAAAUCCACAUAAAAGAAAGUUAUCCUAUCCUUGCCAUGAGAAGAUAUGUACUGACAAUCACAUUGAAAGCUAACUAGAUAAGAGAAACCGACUUUGUCACAAGUAUGUUCAAAAUGUAAUAUGGGCAUCCCAAGUGUUAUUAUAUACACAAGAAUAGCUAGAAGAAUAAGAGAAACCUAACUAGAUUCCGUAAGUAAAUGUCUAACUAGAUUCCGUAAGUAAAUGUCUUUUAUAGCAAUAAGAAUAGAGUCCGACAGUAUUUUGUAAAUACUAGUAGAGCAUGAUGAAUUAAAUUUUUAUAAAAUUAGGCUUAGUCUUGUAUGACUAUAAAUUGAUUAUGUGUAAUUUGACAUACCUCCACAAAAUAUAAAACACCAAAUGUGUAUGCGCGGACUGUGUCUAUGCGUUUAAUUCCAGGGUGCCGUAGAACUAGAUAUGUCAGUUUCUGCAAAACUUCAGGAGGUGCAGAUUGUCCCACAAGUGAAACUGUAAAGGUGGUAUCAGUAAUCAGAAUCGGUAAACAAUUACAUUCACACACAAAAGCUUCUUUUUUUUCCUUUUUUUUGGUGAGGGGUGUAUGUCUUAAAUAACAAACAAAUGAAAAUACAAGCUAACCAAUUGCAUAUAAUAUAGUAAAUUUUAAAUCAUUUUAUUGUUAUUGAGAGCUGUCUUUUAGACCUUGCCUGGAGCAAAAGUUAAUCCUUUUUAUAAUUCUGAUCAAUAUUUGAAACAAAUGUGCUGAACUUUCACCAGCAUCAAUUAUAGAUUGAGGUUGGUGUAUCACUCUCUGAUUCUUCUGUUGCCCCUAUCCACAGACAAAUUGCUUUAAAAACUAAUGCUGGAUGCUCAAAACCGGUUUUGGCUCAUAAUUUUGCAUCAAUUUUAAUAUAAGUCAGCUGGUUUAGUAAAAUUAAACUGACAAAGAACUGGUGUUUAAAGUUUUUCAUACUGACAAAAAAUAAAGUUGUUUCUUGGCAGUGAAGUUUUAGAAAUUACUUUGCCUUUGAAUGACAAUAGCACAGUCAAAAGCACUAGCACUGAAGACAAUCUAUCAUUUUCAUCUCACAAGCAUAUAUACAUAUAUUGUGUAACAUAUUUAUUUUUGUUUGAAAUUCUGACGAGAAUUACCUGCAUUUUCCAUGACAGUGCGAGACCAAUUUGAGAUAGUGUAAAUUGCAAGCAAAAUAGCUCCUACCGGAUCAAUCCACCAAUAAAAUUUAUCACCGAGAAUAGCCG
rnacentral:lncRNA from 1 species